rnacentral:lncRNA from 10 species
ACUACCUUCCUAGACUCAUCUAAGUGGAUGGACUCCAGGGGAUGGAGAAUGGAAGGCAGCAGAUGUUUGUUGACUUCUUGCUCUAUAUCGGGCACUGUGCUAGAUACCAUACACGCCAUCAACAUUUAGGACAGUAUGACAAAGGAGAAUGAAAGCUGUCUCUUGUAGAUAGGAUAUUUUCAGCCGUCAUCACCAUGGACUCUUUGAAAUGUACUACUUCAGAAAAGCCACAGUGACUCCCUCUGGGCCUCACCCACCUGAGAUGACAUCACGACGCAAAUCUAGGACUUACGCUCUUCAUACGGAUGGAAUGUGGUUGCAGUACAUUGAUUCUGAAGAUGGCCCAGAUCUUCACUCAUAUCCUGAUGUCCUUUAGCGUGUCACUUUGCAGCUCCUCCCAUGAAACGAUCAAGUCUAUUUCCCUACACCUUAAAAGUGGGUUGGACUUAUCUUUAUUUAUUCCUGGAGAGGACACUCUUGGUGCCCCACCCAUCCUCCCUCCUCCUUGCUACUUUAGCCUACCUGAAUUCCAAAUGUACCUGUGUU